rnacentral:rRNA from 1 species
UACAGAGGGUGCGAGCGUUGUCCGGAAUCACUGGGCGUAAAGGGCGCGUAGGCGGCCUGAUAAGUCGGGGGGUGAAAUCCUGUGGCUCAACCACAGGGCUGCCUCCGGGACUGUCGGGCUCGAGCACGUAGAGGCAGGUGGAAUUCCCGGUGUAGCGGUGGAAUGCGUAGGAGAUCGGGAAGAACACCAGUGGCGAAGGCGGACCACCUGGACUGAUACUGACACUGAGGUGCGAAAGCGUGGGGAGCAAACAGG